CGUCGGUUUCUCCCUUCUGACGAACCAUGAUGUCAUUUAUUUGGUGUUGUGGGGAAUCAGGACUGUUACUUUGAAAAAAUUAGAGUGUUUAAAGCAGGCUCACGCUUGAAUACAUUAGCAUGGAAUAAUGAAAUAGGACGUUUGAUUCUAUUUUGUUGGUUUCUAGGAUCGACGUAAUGAUUAAUAGGGAUAGUUGGGGGCAUUAGUAUUCAAUUGUCAGAGGUGAAAUUCUUGGAUUUAUUGAAGACUAACUACUGCGAAAGCAUUUGCCAAGGAUGUUUUCAUUAAUCAAGAACAAAAGUUAGGGGAUCGAAGACGAUCAGAUACCGUCGUAGUCUUAACCAUAAACUAUGCCGACUAGGGAUCGGAUGAUGUUAAUUUUUUAAUGACUCAUUCGGCGCCUUACG
rnacentral:rRNA from 1 species